UAGGGAAUCUUCCACAAUGGACGCAAGUCUGAUGGAGCAACGCCGCGUGAGUGAAGAAGGUCUUCGGAUCGUAAAACUCUGUUGUUAGAGAAGAACACGAGUGAGAGUAACUGUUCAUUCGAUGACGGUAUCUAACCAGACAAGUCACGGCUAACUACGUGCCAG
rnacentral:rRNA from 1 species